rnacentral:rRNA from 1 species
AUUGAACGCUGGCGGCAGGCCUCACACAUGCAAGUCGAACGCGUGGCGGACGGGUGAGUAAUAUAUGGGAAACUGCCUGAUAGAGGGGGAUAACUACUGGAAACGGUGGCUAAUACCGCAUACCAUCAGAUGUGCCCAUAUGGGAUUAGCUAGUUGGGGGGGUAACGGCUCACCAAGGCGACGAUCCCUAGCUGGUCUGAGAGGAUGACCAGCCACACUGGGACUGAGACACGGCCCAGACUCCUACGGGAGGCAGCAGUGGGGAAUAUUGCACAAUGGGCGCAAGCCUGAUGCAGCCAUGCCGCGUGUAUGAAGAAGGCCUUCGGGUUGUAAAGUACUUUCGGCGGAGAGGCGUUACCUGCAGAAGAAGCACCGGCUAACUCCGUGCCAGCAGCCGCGGUAAUAC